rnacentral:rRNA from 1 species
CAGCAGCCGCGGUAAUACCGGCGGCCCGAGUGGCGGCUACUAUUAUUGGGCCUAAAGCGUCCGUAGCCGGGCUGGUAAGUCCUCCGGGAAAUCUGGUCGCUUAACGAUCCGACUUCCGGAGGAUACUGCUGGCCUAGGGACCGGGAGAGGCCGAGGGUAUUCCCGGGGUAGGGGUGGAAUCCUGUAAUCCCGGGGGGACCACCUGUGGCGAAGGCGCUCGGCUGGAACGGGUCCGACGGUGAGGGACGAAGGCCAGGGGAGCGAACCGGAUUAGAUACCCGGGUAGUCCUGGCUGUAAACGAUGCGGACUAGGUGUCGGGCAAGCUAAGGGCUUGUCCGGUGCCGCAGGGAAGCCGUUAAGUCCGCCGCCUGGGGAGUACGGCCGCAAGGCUGAAACUUAAAGGAAUUGGCGGG